rnacentral:rRNA from 1 species
UACGUAGGUGGCGAGCGUUAUCCGGAAUUAUUGGGCGUAAAGAGCGCGCAGGUGGUUGAUUAAGUCUGAUGUGAAAGCCCACGGCUUAACCGUGGAGGGUCAUUGGAAACUGGUCGACUUGAGUGCAGAAGAGAGAAGUGGAAUUCCAUGUGUAGCGGUGAAAUGCGUAGAGAUAUGGAGGAACACCAGUGGCGAAGGCGGCUUCCUGGUCUGUAACUGACACUGAGGCGCGAAAGCGUGGGGAGCAAACAGGAUUAGA